rnacentral:tRNA from 1 species
GCCCCCAUCGUCUAGUGGACUAGGACUCAGCCCUUUCAAGGCUGCGACCGGGGUUCGAAUCCCCGUGGGGGUACAA